UGGGUUUUCCAGCUCCUGGUGUUGGUUUCACCUUCCUAGAACAGCGCCGUUGUUCCCUGUUAGAGAGAGUGGAAGUGGAAGAGAACAACGCCCACCUGCACACACCCAUCUGUAGAGGAAACAUAUGAGCACGACGAAAGUGCCUCUGACAUAGCCUUCAGUGGAAGGAAAACGAGGCUUUGCCGCACGCUGACGCAGCUUCUCGAUCUACCGUGGGCUCUAAGGCUUUCG